AUUUAUGUGAAAUGGAGAGAAGCUGAGAGUGUCAUUGAACUUCACCCUUCUAAAUUUGAAAUUCUAAAAAAACACGGUGAUAAGUCGUUUGCAGCUGCACUGUGUCAACCCAAAACGUCACACUUCCAAGUCUCAAACCCUUCAGCUCAAAGCAAACAACAAAUGGCUCCAAACCCUGUAUCACUCGCUCGUAAAACCCCUCUCCUAAACCGUUUCGUGGGUUUUUCUCGUAGACCCUCUUUGCAUUCUGGUCCUCAGUCUAGGAUUGCAGCAAACCCUGUUCAGAUAAGGGGCUUUAGAAGCUCUUCUUUGAGCCAUUGCCACUCACAUGCUCCGCAUUCUCAUUCAUAUUGCCUGAAUUCUGGCAAUGGAGUCGUGUUUAAGGACUUGGGUCGUUCUGAAAUAGGUUUUAGGCAGCUGGGUUUUGACCGGUUUCGUCUCUCCGUCGUUUCGGAUGGUGGGUCGGGUGGAACUGGUGGAUAUGGCGGUUCUGGUGAUGGAAAUUAUGGUGGCAGAGGUGAAGGAGGUGCCGGAGAUGGUGGUCGUGGUGAAAACAAUUGGUCGUUGCUCUCUUGGUAUUUGGAUCUUCUUGCAAAGUAUCCAGUGUCAACAAAAGCUCUUACGUCUGCCUUUUUAACUCUCAUUGGAGAUGUGAUCUGCCAGCUUGUGAUUGAUAAAACUCCGGACCUGGACUUGAAAAGAACAUUCUUGUUUACUCUGUUGGGGCUGGUGUUAGUAGGUCCGACGUUGCAUUUCUGGUAUUUGUAUCUAAGCAAACUGGUAACAACGCCUGGAGCAUCAGGUGCAUUCCAGCGCCUUCUACUUGAUCAGUUUAUUUUCUCUCCUAUAUUCAUUGGAGUUUUCUUAUCAACAUUGAUGACACUGGAGGGAAAACCUUCACAAGUUGUACCCAAGCUUCAACAGGAGUGGUUUUCUGCUGUUCUCGCUAAUUGGCAACUGUGGAUACCUUUCCAGUUUCUUAACUUUCGGUUUGUCCCACAGCAAUUCCAGGUCCUUGCUGCUAAUUCCAUUUCUUUGAUAUGGAAUGUUAUCCUCUCGUUUAAAGCUCACAAAGAGGUUCUUCAAAAAUAGACGCUUGAAAUAAGAAUUUCUUGACUUCCACUUUCCCAGGAUUUCAUUUCUAAGGUAUGAAUGAAUGCGACAGCAACAAAUGGAGCCUAUGCUGAUUCAAGGAUCUACAACGAGUUCUGCUUCUUAUCUGGAGAAAUGUAUUGUGUUUAGAUGUGACACAGCUUUGAACUAUUCUUCUUUUUCUGUGUUUUGCGCAUUGGUUGCCUUAAUUUUUUUGGUUUACCCAUGUCUCUUUUCCCGUUUUCUUGUAUUUAGCUUCUAUGCAGGUGUAAUAUCAAUGGCCAAGAAGAUUUUUUGAUGAUUUUCUAUGCAUCUAUGUCUUGGACUCGUGUAGCUGUGGCAAAAUGUGAAGGCUAAAUAACCCACCCCAACAAUUUUCAGUUUAUUUUUGGAAAAACAAAAAACAACAAACAAGAAAUUUAUAUAUUAUUGGUGUCCAUUUUCCAGGUUGGGA